rnacentral:tRNA from 1 species
GCGCUCGUAGCUCAGCUGGAUAGAGCAACGGACUUCGAAUCCGUUGGUCGGGAGUUCGAAUCUCUCCGAGCGCGCCA